UACGUAGGGGGCAAGCGUUGUCCGGAAUCAUUGGGCGUAAAGCGCGUGUAGGCGGCUUGGUAAGUCUGCUCUGAAAGCUCGGGGCUCAACCCCGGGAGGCGGGUGGAUACUGCUGAGCUCGAGUCCGGAAGAGGCGAGUGGAAUUCCUGGUGUAGCGGUGAAAUGCGCAGAUAUCAGGAGGAACACCAAUGGCGAAGGCAGCUCGCUGGGACGGUACUGACGCUGAGACGCGAAAGCGUGGGGAGCGAACAGG
rnacentral:rRNA from 1 species